rnacentral:rRNA from 1 species
GCUGUAAACGAUGAAUACUAGGUGUGGGAGGACUGACCCCUUCCGUGCCGCAGUUAACACAAUAAGUAUUCCACCUGGGGAGUACGACCGCAAGGUUGAAACUCAAAGGAAUUGACGGGGGCCCGCACAAGCAGUGGAUUAUGUGGUUUAAUUCGACGCAACGCGAAGAACCUUACCAGGAUUUGACAUCCAACUAACGAAGUAGAGAUACAUUAGGUGCCCUUCGGGGAAAGUUGAGACAGGUGGUGCAUGGUUGUCGUCAGCUCGUGUCGUGAGAUGUUGGGUUAAGUCCCGCAACGAGCGCAACCCCUAUUGUUAGUUGCUACGCAAGAGCACUCUAGCGAGACUGCCGUUGACAAAACGGAGGAAGGCGGGGACGACGUCAAAUCAUCAUGCCCCUUAUGUCCUGGGCUACACACGUAAUACAAUGGCCGUCAACAAAGGGAAGCAAAGCCGCGAGGUGGAGCAAAUCCCCAAAAACGGUCUCAGUUCGGAUUGCAGGCUGCAACUCGCCUGCAUGAAGCUGGAAUUGCUAGUAAUCGCGGAUCAGC